rnacentral:tRNA from 1 species
GUGCCUUUAGCUCAGUUGGUUAGAGCGUCGGAUUGUGGUUCCGAAGGUCAAGGGUUCGAGGCCCCUAAGGCACC